rnacentral:rRNA from 1 species
UACGGAGGGUGCAAGCGUUAUCCGGAUUUACUGGGUUUAAAGGGUGCGUAGGUGGGUCUGUAAGUCAGUGGUGAAAUCUCCGAGCUUAACUCGGAAACUGCCAUUGAUACUAUAGGUCUUGAAUUAUCUGGAGGUAAGCGGAAUAUGUCAUGUAGCGGUGAAAUGCUUAGAUAUGACAUAGAACACCAAUUGCGAAGGCAGCUCGCUACACAAUUAUUGACUCUGAGGCACGAAAGCGUGGGGAUCAAACAGG